rnacentral:rRNA from 1 species
GGAAUCUUCCGCAAUGGGCGAAAGCCUGACGGAGCAACGCCGCGUGAGUGAAGAAGGUCUUCGGAUCGUAAAGCUCUGUCGAAGGGGACGAACGUGGGUUCUAUCAACAACGGAACCUAAUGACGGUACCUUUCAAGAAAGCCACGGCUAACUACGUGCCAGCAGCCGCGGUAAUACGUAGGUGGCGAGCGUUGUCCGGAAUCAUUGGGCGUAAAGGGAGCGCAGGCGGUUUUUUAAGUCUGAUGUGAAAGCCUUCGGCUUAACCGAAGAAGUGCAUCGGAAACUGGGAAACUUGAGUGCAGAAGAGGACAGUGGAACUCCAUGUGUAGCGGUGAAAUGCGUAGAUAUAUGGAAGAACACCAGUGGCGAAGGCGGCUGUCUGGUCUGUAACUGACGCUGAGGCUCGAAAGCAUGGGUAGCGAACA